CUGAAAGUUCAGUGUAUACAAACCCAGUAUAGCAUCUAUCUUCCAUGUAGUCUGGGCUUGCAGUUGAUCGGCAUCUUAUCUGUUUUCAAUAGACAAAAUUAUAUCAGUAAAGAAACGACGAAGAAGUGAAAUCAAUAGCGAUGAAACUAUUUAAGUUCUCCAUGCUCUUCUUUGCAUUGCUGACGAUCAGCUGUUUCCGUGAAUCUGACGCGAAUCCAGCCUGGUUUCUUCGUAUUGCUGCCGCCUUGGGCGUGAAGCUUGUUAAGAAUUCCUYMUACGCYCGWUGUAACACYCGCUAUUUACCGACCGGGAUGAACUGUCCGAGCGUGGUGUAUGGGGRUGGGCRGUCUAGAAACCAAGCACAAAAUUCAGCGAGYGUUUACGCGGAGAUGUUUGGGGAUCAUGGUUGUGGACGUUACGUUGGUCAUUGCCAAAUCAAAAAAUUCAGCAAAAGGGGAUGAAACUUCACACGUCUGUCAGUCUUAUGAGAAUAUAACAAAAGUGUAAAUCCAACAUAUGUAGCGAAAUAAAGACUGCUAUAUACAUCCCGAGAA